ensembl:lncRNA
AUUUUGAAUGGUGCUCAAGGGUCUGAAUGUGUUCAGCAUCAUUUGAAAUAAAUUAGUGGGAUCUGGAACACUGAGCUUCAGAAUGGGAGUCUCCCAAAGCCCUGAAUUAUGAAUUAUGAACCCAGCAUUAGCACCCCCUCCAGCAUUUGUCAGCUCUUAGACUCGCAGCGAUCUUCCAGCCUAUCAGACCUUAUGGAUCCCAGAAGGUGAACCUAUAAUCAAGUCUUUACUGGGGGCUUCUUGGCAAGGCUAUCUCCAGCCACUGUUCCUGGCCUCAUAUAAGGUGUUCUAGAAAGGGGUUCCUCCAGCCGUGCAUCAGGACAAGGAACCAAGUGCUCCAGAGAGCCAAGUGAAUUGUUACCUGUCACAGCAUCCCCAUGUUCAUCUCUUAAUACUUGUGGGUGUGAUACAAACCACCUAAAAGAGAUUCACUGCCUCUUUUACAGCCCAGACUAGACAGUUUCCUGUGUUCCAUCAGUGCAGUUCUACUGCUGCACAUUUUGGUUUGGUUAGCAGGACUUUAAUCAAGAAAAAAAAAUCUAAUGAGCAGCAAUUUGAAAUACAGCAUUUGGAAAGGUCAAAAUGGUACAUUACAUCCCUAUUAUCCAAAAGAACAGAUGAGUUUAAUAUCCUGACAGCAUUUUCCUGUGAAGAAGAUAUUAAACAAGAACUGAAAAUGGCACAAGGUUCCCUCUUCCUUUCUUUUGACAAAGACUGUAACAAGAUGAUGAAAUUGUACAGAAUAAAUCUCAUCCUGCUUUAAUGUUCAGAUUGGGGAUCCUGCCUAGAUUUCAAAAAUCUAAGCUAAUAAAAGAGACAAAACAUAUGUUAUUUGUUUCAGGUAUAUCCACAUGAAGCAGAAGACUUUUACUAUACAUUUUCCUACUUACAUGACCCAGUUUCCAUCAAUAUUUUCUAGAUUUAAAAAUAGGAAUAAUUGGUAACAGAAGGUACAUAAUGCAUCUAAUUUCAAGAAGUAAAGCAUUGAACUGCAACAGAUAAUGCACUGCAUCAAAACAGCUUAAAAUGUAAAUUUUUCAGCUUCCAUAUGAAAGACUGCAGAAUACAAAGAAUAAAUUCCAACACACAAUGCACUGUAUGUAUUCUGCUUUGGUGAGUCCUUGGCAGUGUGGAACUGUUUGAAGGCAAAGGAAUUUGCACUAUAUCCCGUUGAUUGUUAGCAAUUCAAUUAAUAUAUGGAACUGUCACGAUUUGUUGUCUUAAAUCUUGUUAAAUUGGCCCUCGUGUUAAAUCUUAUUAUUACAACCAAAAAAUGCUGUGCUUAAAAAUCAAAACAUGAGUAUACAGCACACACCUUUAUUAAUAUGACAUGCACUUGUAUUCAUUCCACAUGAGAUAUGAGAAGUCUGCUGUUACAUAAGAGCAUAACAAGUUAUAUAAUAAAGACAUUCAUGAUUAUUAAAGAAAAACAAAUUAUAUGAUUCCAAAAGAUACACAUCUUCAAGUAUAACUGGCUGAAGUAGACGUACAUGGCUUUGAAUAAGAACUCGUAAGUAGAAAUCAUACAGAACCUCUUUUUUUCUUCACCAUCUAGAGAAUACAUCUGAAAAAAUAUCUCUGUGGUGCUUUACGUGCAGUACCUUGCUGAGAAAACCCAUUCUGCUUUGGCCAAGAGAGAGAAAAUGAACAUGCC